CACCUUGGAAGAAGAAAUCCACAGGAGGAAAAAAAGAAAAAAUUCUCAAACUACAGGAAGUGGAGAGAACAGUACAGUGACCCUACACGCUUGUUACCAGCCUCACCUGUCACCCACAUGGAGUCCUUCCCAUUUGUGGGGUUUCCAGGAUUUGCUGAGCACCUACUAUGCAUCAGACGCUGUGUUCUAGGCAAGGGGGAUACACCUGAUGGAAGAAGGUCCUUCCCUAGACGUAGCUAACAUCCCAGUGUGGGAGAUGACACGAAACAGCAAACUCCCCACAACAGCCUCCUCAACGCUGCCUCCCACAGUGCUUGGACAAAAUAAUUACAGCAAGAUGCGGGCA
rnacentral:lncRNA from 10 species